CAAGAACUUAUUGAAAAGGUUACCUUAUGAGUUAUGUUUUGACCAAUUAGUCAAAGGGGCGGCUUCCUAGAAUCUCUUUUGUGAGCUUCUAGAUUGAAAAGCACAAACUGUAUUAGGGCAAAAUAUCAGUAUGAUUGAUGCAGGAAACCCAGAAAGGAGAAGAUGAAGGAAACAUUUACCAAGAAGGGGCUGAGUCACGGAAACUCACUCUUUUGUAACGUACUUUGGAGGGUGAGAAAGUAAACUUUGUUUUGCAGACCGUCUGCACCUUCACAGAUGACGCACUGGUUCAGCAUCAGGAGUGGGAUGGGAAGGAAAGCACCAUCACAAGGAAGCUGCAAGAUGGGAAGCUCAUGGUGGACUGCGUCAUGAACAAUGUCACCUGUCAUCGGGUCUAUGAGAGAGCAGAAUAAAAAUUCCAUCAUUGCUUUGGACGGGAAUUAGCUGCACAAAUGAACGAGCUCAGUUCAAUGAGCAAAUCUCCAUUUUGCUUCUUUUUUUUUUUCACGACUAUGUUCAAUUAUCUUUAUCACAAACCUUUUACAUGCAACUAUUCCAAAAGUGUUGGUUUAAUUAAGAUCAUCCCUUUGGGUAGUCAAUAAAUGUGUUUGUGCUAAUA